ACGGAAGGCAGCAGUGGGGAAUAUUGCACAAUGGGCGAAAGCCUGAUGCAGCGACGCCGCGUGAGUGAAGAAGUAUCUCGGUAUGUAAAGCUCUAUCAGCAGGGAAGAAAAUGACGGUACCUGACUAAGAAGCCCCGGCUAACUACGUGCCAGCAGCCGCGGUAAUACGUAGGGGGCAAGCGUUAUCCGGAUUUACUGGGUGUAAAGGAAGCGUAGACGGUUUGGCAAGUCUGAAGUGAAAUGCGGGGGCUCAACUCCUGAACUGCUUUGGAAACUGUCGAACUAGAGUGCAGGAGAGGUAAGUGGAAUUCCUAGUGUAGCGGUGAAAUGCGUAGAUAUUAGGAGGAACACCAGUGGCGAAGGCGGCUUACUGGACUGUAACUGACGUUGAGGCUCGAAAGCGUGGGGAGCAAACAGGAUUAGAUACCCUGGUA
rnacentral:rRNA from 2 species